GGAAACCGUUAAAUUGCCGGUUGUAAAGCUGUGUUAAAAAAAUAAUAAUAAAAAAACAAGCGAGCCAUAUUGCAUGUGUAGGGACAGACUGUGCCACUAAGUCACAGGCCCAAGCCGUGGGUGGUGUGGAGCAGCAUUGUUCCCCAGCAAUUAAAAUGAACACGCUCGCCACACAAAACUGCAAUGUGUUCCUUCCUUUGCGAGUUGUGCCCUCCUUCUGGCUGCGCUUCUGCUCCCUGACACCACCAGCCAUCCUGGCCAGCAGCAGCCCUCCCUGGUGUUCCGGGGGAAUUUGGGGGACUGCGGGUGUCACCGAUGUCUCUCCGCAAAGAAGGAAGAUUUGGAAGGAAUACACUAAUACUGAUGAUAGGUGUUCAGUGCGGAGCAGCUUGUGCAGCUGGAUGGAUGAGAUGUGGGUUGUGGAGCAGUUCCUAUGCUGACCUGAUUCCCGGGGUCAGGCGGUGGGGCAUCAGCUCUCCUUCCCAGAUCUCACGCAGGAGCACGGACCAACUUUUACUCGGCAGCCAGGACUGGGGUGAUGUGUCCUGCUGCAGAGAGGGAACAUCAUGGGGCCAUUCUCUUGUAAAUCUUCUGCUGCCCAGCACUCACCGCUGUUGA
rnacentral:lncRNA from 1 species